rnacentral:rRNA from 1 species
AAACGGGGGCAUGUGCACGCUCUGUUUGCACAUCCACUUACACAUGUGCACCCUCUGUAGUUCUGCAGCCUGGGGGCUCUGUCCCCCUUGCCGUGGUUCUAUGUAUUUACAUACACACCGUAAUAAAGUCUCAUGGAAUGUGUGCCGCGUUUAACGCAAUACAAUACAACUUUCAGCAACGGAUCUCUUGGCUCUCGCAUCGAUGAAUAAUGCAGCGAAAUGCGAUAAGUAAUGUGAAUUGCAGAAUUCAGUGAAUCAUCGAAUCUUUGAACGCACCUUGCGCCCUUUGGCCAUUCCGAAGGGCAUGCCUGUUUGAGUAUCAUGAACACCUCAACUCUCAUGGCUUGCCAUGAUGAGCUUGGACUUUGGGGGUCUUGCUGGCCUGCGGUCGGCUCCUCUCAAAUGAAUCAGCUUGCCAGUGUUUGGUGGCAUCACAGGUGUGAUAACUAUCUACGCUUGUGGUUUUCCACCAGGUAACCUUCAGUGAUGGAGGUUCGCUGGAGCUCAUAAACGUCUCUCCUCGGUGAGGACAGCUCUUUGAACGUUUGAUCUCAAAUCA